AUGACGAUAACCAACAAAGAUUUAUACAAAUAUAUAGAUUUUUUAUAUACAUAAUGAUGCAAGGUUAAACUAAGAUACAAAAUAAGAGAGAUACGAUACAGAGAGAUUGAUACGAUACAUGUUUUUAUUUUCUUUAAUAGUUCGAGUUCUUGAAGUUUAGCAGGUUUGAAAUCGACAACCGUAACCGUAACCGUUUCGUUAAAACCGUUCAAUGUGGGAAUGCUGCAAUCGAGAGAUUCCCCGACCACAAUGUUCCCAGAACCUGGGUUCAGAAGAACGGACACACGGACAUGGAUCACAUACACUCGGUCGUCGACUUUAAACAAGUAUUAUUGUUUUUGCUUUAUUAGGUGGGAAAUGCUUUGCCGGACUAAACCCAAUACAUCCUUUCACUUUUGAGAGCUGAGCUCUAAAUAGGUGUAAACACAAUUGAAUUGGUUUACAGAUUUACAAUUUGUCGGAAAAUAAAUGUAUGUGUAAUUGG